CCUACGGGAGGCAGCAGUGAGGAAUAUUGGUCAAUGGACGAGAGUCUGAACCAGCCAAGUAGCGUGAAGGAUGACUGCCCUAUGGGUUGUAAACUUCUUUUUUCUGGGAAUAAAAUGUUCCACGUGUGGGAUUUUGUAUGUACCAUAUGAAUAAGGAUCGGCUAACUCCGUGCCAGCAGCCGCGGUAAUACGGAGGAUCCGAGCGUUAUCCGGAUUUAUUGGGUUUAAAGGGAGCGUAGGUGGAUUGUUAAGUCAGUUGUGAAAGUUUGCGGCUCAACCGUAAAAUUGCAGUUGAAACUGGCAGUCUUGAGUACAGUAGAGGUGGGCGGAAUGCGUGGUGUAGCGGUGAAAUGCUUAGAUAUCACGAAGAACUCCGAUUGCGAAGGCAGUUCACUGGACUGCAACUGACACUGAGGCUCGAAAGUGUGGGUAUCAAACAGGAUUAGAUACCCCAGUAGUC
rnacentral:rRNA from 1 species